rnacentral:rRNA from 1 species
UACGUAGGUGGCAAGCGUUGUCCGGAUUUACUGGGCGUAAAGGGCGUGCAGGCGGUUUGUUUAGUCUAGGGUGAAAGCUCCCGGCUUAACUGGGAGAGGUCCUUGGAUACUGGCAAACUUGAGGGAGGCAGAGGAAAGUGGAAUUCCCGGUGUAGUGGUGAUAUGCGUAGAUAUCGGGAGGAACACCAGUGGCGAAGGCGGCUUUCUGGGCCUUACC